UGUCUAAUAGUCUCCUGAUUACCAAUAGUCUCUCUUGUAUAGUAGUCUCCUCUAGAGUAAAACAUUCUAGAGUUAUAGGACUAAGAACCAUUCCUUAUCUCUCAUUGUCCUCCCCUUAAGUGGUGAUGGGGUCGUACUGAAAUAAGGUUCAAUCUCUCUAAAUAUAACACCCAUACUGACAAAAUAUUUUCUAUAUUGUUAUAAGUAAUAAGUUAUAGAAAGUAAAUAUGUUAAUAUAGGAAGUAAAUAUUGAUAGAUGAAUCAGUUGCUUAAUCUUAGGGAUUGUAUAAUUAUAGGCUUGAUUUUCCUUCCUGUUUAGUUACCGUCUCUCAUGUAUAAAUAGGUUGUAAUCUCUAUUGUGAUAAAUACAAUAAAUAUUAUCUUUCUACAUGGUAUCAGAGCUUUUCUCAUAGAGAUUUUUUUCUCUUCUCUCUCUCGUAAAGUUUUAAAAUUUUUUUUUGAGACUUAGGGCUCCGUUCAUUUGGGUUAUCCAUAAAGGGUAACAUUUGGAUCUCACCAUCGCUAGAGUCACCACACCGACUCCUUGUCAGAUUUGAGGUUUGUUUGCCGUUCGGGUGUUGGGUGGAGGUGUUUUAUUUGGUACUGUUCAUCGGCACUGUUCACGUGGUACUGUUCAUCGUCACUGUUCACGUGGUACUGUUCAUCGGCACUGUUCACGUGGUACUGUUCACGCCGGGUACUGUUUUCUGAUUCUGUGUUUCUUUUGUUGCUAUCGUUUUUGGGUUGGUUGUCCUUAUGGCUGGAGUUAAAACCACCACCGUAACUGAUGUGAUUCCUAUGAUGACUAAAAUCACGGAACACAAAUUGAAUGGAUCUUCCGAUCAGGGAAUUUUGAUAUCUGCAGAUGAGUAUGCACAAUUCAUCCAAUACCAGGCAUCUAUAAAAUCUUCUAAUUCCUCCUCUAUCACUGCAAUUGCCGAGUCAGGUAACUCUACUGCAUGUCUUGUGUCUUCAUCCUCCAAAUGGAUUAUUGAUUCUGGUGCUACCGAUCAUAUGUCAGGUAAUUCUACCCUUUUGUCUAAUCUUGAGUCUCAUACAUCGUCUUCUUAUGUUACUCUUGCUGAUGGCACUAAAUCGUUUGUCAUGGGUUCUGGUCAUGUCAACUUAACCCCUUCUCUUUCUGUAUCCUCUGUGUUAUGUCUCCCUAAGUUCGCAUUUAAUUUGCUUUCCGUGAGUAAACUCACUCGUGCAUUGAAUUGUUGUGUCUCAUUCUUUCCUGAUCACUGUGUUUUUCAGGAUCUUUCGACGAAGCAGAUUAUUGGUAGAGGAAGUGAGUCAGAGGGUCUUUACGUCUUGGAUCAGCAACUACCUCGAUCUCCUCGAUCUCUGGUAUGCUCCACGCGUUUAACACCUUUUGAUGUUCAUUGUCGUUUAGGGCAUCCUUCUCUCUCGGUUUUGAAGAAGUUAUAUCCACAGUUUCAUUCUUUGUCUAUUCUAGAUUGUGAGUCUUGUCAAUUUGCCAAAUAUCAUCGUUUACCUACACUGUCUCGAGUCAAUAAACGAGCUUCGUCUCCCUUUGAGUUAGUCCAUUCAGAUGUUUGGGGUCCUUGUCCUAUUGUGUCUAAGUCUGGCUUUAAGUAUUUUGUUACUUUUGUUGAUGAUUUCUCUCGUACUACUUGGUUAUUUUGAAUGAAGAGUCGUUCAGAAUUAUUUUCUAUUUUUUGUGCAUUUUAUGCUGAAAUCCAAACCCAAUUCAAUACUUCCAUCCGUAUAUUGCAAAGUGAUAAUGCUAAAGAGUAUCUCUCUGGGGAAUUUCAAUCUUAUUUGUUACAAAAAGGGAUUCUUCAUCGGUCCUCUUGUGUUGCCACUCCUUCACAAAAUGGAGUUGCUGAAAGAAAAAAUCAACAUCUUCUUGAAGUAGCCAGAGCCCUCUUAUUCCAAAUGAAGGUACCUAAAUGUUUUUGGGCUGAUGCUGUAUCCACUGCUUGUUUUUUUAUCAAUCGCAUGCCUUCCUCCGUCCUUCAUGGUGAUAUCCCUUAUAACAUUUUAUUUCCCACUAAAUUUUUGUUUCCUAUUGAGCCACGUCUUUUUGGUUGUACUUGUUUUGUUCGUGAUGUUCGUCCACAGGUUACUAAAUUGGAUCCCAAAUCACUCAAAUGUGUCUUCCUUGGCUACUCUUGACGUCAGAAAGGGUAUCAUUGUUUUUCUCCUGAUCUGAAUCGGUAUCUUGUGUCUGCGAAUGUAACAUUCUUUGAGUCCACUCCGUUUUUUCCGCCAUCAUCUGUUUAUAACACCCAGGAGGAGGAAGAUGACCUCUUGUUAUACGCUGUUCGCUCUUCAUCUCCUCAGACUACUCCUACACCUUUCGCUCAUGUGCCAGGUCGCCCUCCCAUCUUUCAUGUGUAUUCCAGACGCUUAGAGGACUCUGACUCCGUUCCGCUACCCGCUUCUUCGUCGACAGAUCCUGCUCCUACUGAUCCUUCAUUGUCUGAUUUGGAUUUGUCCAUUGCUCUUCGCAAAGGUAAACGUACUUGCACUUAUCCUAUUUCAUCUUGUGUCUCUUAUGAUCAAUUAUCCUCCUCUUCUCGUUGUUUUGUCAUUGCUUUAGAUUCUAUUUCAAUUCCCAAAACUGUUAUUGAGGCUUUGUCCCAUCCUGGUUGGCGUGCUGCAAUGGAAGAGGAAAUGAUGGCCCUUGACACUAAUGGUACUUGGGAGUUGAUGUCCUUGCCCCCAGGAAAGCGGGCUAUUGGGUGCAAAUGGGUAUUUGCAGUGAAAGUAAAUCCUGAUGGAUCUAUUGCUCGCCUCAAGGCCCGUUUAGUGGCCAAAGGUUAUGCACAAACUUAUGGAGUUGACUAUUCUGAUACAUUCUCCCCAGUUGCCAAGCUCGCAUCUGUCCGAUUGUUUAUUUCCUUGGCGGCUACUCAUGAUUGGCCUUUGCAUCAACUGGAUAUUAAAAAUGUUUUUCUUCAUGGUGAUCUUCAGGAGGAGGUUUAUAUUGAGCAACCACCUGGUUUUGUUGCUCAGGGGGGAGUCAGGUAAGGUUUGCAGACUUCGAAAAUCGCUUUAUGGCUUGAAACAGAGUCCUCGGGCAUGGUUUGGCAGGUUUAGUGAGGUGGUCCAACAGUUUGGAAUGAAGAUGAGUAAGUGUGAUCACUCAGUGUUUUAUCGAAAUUCUGAUAGUGGAGUAAUUCUGCUUGUAGUAUAUGUGGAUGAUAUCGUUAUCACAGGAAGUGACAUUGCUGGCAUCACAUCCCUAAAAGAAUUUCUUAAAACACAGUUUCAUACAAAGGAUUUGGGUUCCUUGAAAUAUUUCUUGGGAAUCGAAGUUAUGCGGUGUAAGAAAGGCAUCUUCUUGUCUCAAAGAAAAUAUGUUCUUGAUUUGUUGGCAGAAACAGGAAAAUUGGGUGCUAAGCCUUGUAGUGCCCCAAUGACCCCUAACCUUCAACUUAACACAGAAGACAGUGAGCCAUUUGCAGAUCCUGGAAGGUAUAGAAGAUUAGUUGACAAGCUGAAUUAUUUGACGGUGACUCGUCCUGAUAUUGCAUAUUCAGUGAGUGUGGUAAGUCAGUUUAUAUCUUCUCCUACUGUUGCCCAGUGGGAUGCUCUGGGACAGAUUCUUUGUUACCUUAAAGGGGCCCCAGGGCGAGGCCUAUUCUAUGGUAACCAUGGGCACUCAAAUAUUGAAUGCUUUUGUGAUGCUGAUUGGACAGGUUCGAAAGUUGAUAGGAGGUCAAUUACUGGGUAUUGUGUUUUUGUGGGAGGUAACUUGGUCUCAUGGAAAAGUAAGAAGCAAAAUAUGGUCUCCCGUUCUAGUGUUGAAUCUGAAUAUCGAGUUAUGGCACAAGCCGUUUAUGAAAUCUUGUGGGUACGUCAACUGUUGGAAGAAGUUGGGUUCACAAAUUCGGUGCCUGCUAAGUUGUGGUGUGAUAAUCAAGCAGCUAUCCACAUUGCCUCCAAUCCAGUAUUUCACGAGAGGACUAAACACAUCGAGAUUGAUUGUCAUUUUGUUCGUGAAAAGGUCCAACAAAAGAUAAUAUCAACAGGAUAUAUCCGAACUGGAGAACAAUUAGGAGAUAUUUUCACUAAAGCUCUAAAUGGGACUCGAGUUGAUUAUAUAUGUAACAAGUUGGGCAUGAUUAACAUUUAUGAUCCAACUUGAGAGGGAGUGUUAUAAGUUAUAGAAAGUAAAUAUGUUAAUAUAGGAAGUAAAUAUUGAUAGAUGGAUCAGUUGCUUAAUCUUAGGGAUUGUAUAAUUAUAGGCUUGAUUUUCCUUCCUGUUUAGUUACCGUCUCUCAUGUAUAAAUAGGUUGUAAUCUCUAUUGUGAUAAAUACAAUAAAUAUUAUCUUUCUAAAUAUAUGAAGGGUAAAACACUUGUAACUCUUCUGUGUGGGAGAAUACUCAACACACACACACAUUUAAUAGUCCUCGAAUCGAGCUUCUCACCUGUCCUAGUAUGAACAAGACACGUGCAUCCAAACACCUUUGAUGAAUUAAUAUAAGCAUUUUUUCGAUUUAGCACCUCUAAAGGGCUUUUAAAGGCAAGAGCUUUGAAAGACAUUUUAUUAAUGAAAUAAGUUGCGGCUAAAACUGCAUCUCCCCAAUAGGUUUUUGAAAGGUUUACGGUGCAAAGGAGAGAUCGGACCACCUGCAACAGGUGUAUUUUUUCUUUAAGUAACACCACUAGUGUAAGGACAACUAGUUUGAUGCAGUAUCCCACUAGACUCCAAAUAAGCAGAAAAAUGGUCAUUCAUGUACUCUAUACCAUUAUCAGUUUUUAAAACUUUUAUCUUAGCAUCAAAUUGAGUACAAAUCAUCUUGUGAAAAGAUUGAAAGCAAGAAACCACAUCGCUCUUUUCUUUUAUCAAAUAAACCCAAGUUAUACGAGUGUAACAAUUAAUAAAAGUAACAAACCAACGAUUAACAGACCGUUUGAGUAGGUCCCAAACGUCAGAAUGGAUGGUCACAAAAUGAAUCGUACCUCUAUUGUUACUGGAGGGAUAAAAGGUUCUUGUAUGCUUAAUAUAUUCACAAGUAUCAUAAACUAAAGAACCA
rnacentral:lncRNA from 1 species